GAUGAACGCUAGCGACAGGCUUAACACAUGCAAGUCGAGGGGCAGCAUAAAAGUAGCAAUACUUUGGUGGCGACCGGCGCACGGGUGAGUAACGCGUAUGCAACCUACCUAUCAGAGGGGAAUAACCCGGCGAAAGUCGGACUAAUACCGCAUAAAACAGGGGCACCGCAUGGUGAUAUUUGUUAAAGAAAUUCGCUGAUAGAUGGGCAUGCGUUCCAUUAGGUAGUUGGUGAGGUAACGGCUCACCAAGCCGACGAUGGAUAGGGGGACUGAGAGGUUGGUCCCCCACACGGGGACUGAGACACGGACCAGACUCCUACGGGAGGCAGCAGUGAGGAAUAUUGGUCAAUGGGCGGGAGCCUGAACCAGCCAAGUCGCGUGAAGGAAGAAGGAUCUAUGGUUCGUAAACUUCUUUUGCAGGGGAAUAAAGUGCGGGACGUGUCCUGUUUUGUAUGUACCCUGAGAAUAAGGAUCGGCUAACUCCGUGCCAGCAGCCGCAGUAA
rnacentral:rRNA from 1 species